UACGUAGGGUGCGAGCGUUAAUCGGAAUUACUGGGCGUAAAGCGUGCGCAGGCGGUUAUUUAAGUCAGGUGUGGAAGCCCUGGGCUUAACCUAGGAAUUGCGCUUGAGACUGGAUAGCUUGGAGUGCGGCAGAGGGAGGUGGAAUUCCACGUGUAGCAGUGAAAUGCGUAGAGAUGUGGAGGAACACCGAUGGCGAAGGCAGCCCCCUGGGCUAACACUGACGCUCAUGCACGAAAGCGUGGGGAGCAAACAGG
rnacentral:rRNA from 1 species